ACACACACACCAAUAAUUAUUUUAAAGUUCAACAAACAGCAACAUAAGCAUUGACUAAUGAAAAAUCCUGUGUUAUCAUCUUUCUAAAAAUUAUAUUUCUAGUUUAGGACACAAACAGCAAUUCUUUCUCCAAAGGUGACACCUGCACACUGUUAGCCCUUAUCCGUGGAUGUAAGACAAACUGCUAGCUCUAAACAAAAGCUGUCCACAUGUAUAUGACAAUCUGUGAGAAAACAUAUUUACUCACCAGAAGAGUGAUGAUACAUCAACAUAAUAAAUCAUUGUUCGCUUUUUCUUUUUUGGCUGAAAGUUUAGAGCAAUAUUUGUACAAAAUAUUUUCCAUCACCUCAGUAUUUAUGGUUACAAUCUGACAGCGUGAACUAAAGAAAUAUUUCAAUUACAUUUAAUUUUAAGUAACCUGAAUGUUUCUUAAAGAUCCAACAGUAUCAGUCAAAGAAGCAGCUGUACAGUAGACAACUAUCGUCUGCAUAAUGACGGACUGUUUAGGGUUUUCAUCAGCAGCAGAAACAACCUGAGAUCUAUAAGAAGUGUUUUAAAAGCUUUUUGAAUUUGAAAGAUUUAGUUAAUGUACACAUACAUACUGUAGCAGCAGGUAUUUACUACAACCUGUUGUUAACCCAGACUAGGCUGAGCUCAGUACAACACUGACUUUAAUAAAGUCUGUCAGGGCAUGAACCAGUGAUUCCAGGGUUUUGGACACAAAGGGGAUUUUUCUUAAAGGAUUAUACUCGCUUAAAUCAACGUGAACAUAUUGUAAAUGUUAAAGAGUUCAGGAAAGGAGAUUCCUUCUGAGCCUGAGGGACAGUAUUUGUACUAAAAUCAGGAUCACACAAAGAUUCUACAAUCAGUAGAUUAAGUGUCAAUUAAGGAGAAACAGAACCUGAAACACCAACAUCAGCAGGAGAUUUAAAGAGAUUUGGAGUUCAUAUGUUGUAACAUAGAUGCUGCAGUGAUGAAGUUUUCACUAAACACAUUAAAAAAACCCAUUUCUAGUCUGUGAUUAAAUGGCAAAGAAGAACCGACUUGCUGACAAAGAACAAAAACAAAUGUUGUUUCAGACCACAUUCUGGUUUAUAUUGCAGUUAUUCUGGAGAUAAUGAAGUCUAAUCCAGAAGCAGAGGGAGCGUAAUGAGAAGUUCAGAUUCAGAGUUUGUGUGAAUCUCCAUGAGGAUGAUUUAAACAGUGAUCUGUCCCGGCAGUGAGGAGGAAACAGCAUGAUGUGUUGAGGACAGCUACAGUUCACUGACUCUGUGUGUUUGCAUAUGUGUCCUGCCUCUCUGCUCCCAGCCGUUAAGAGGCCAGUGUUGAUCAGUGGCUGUCCAGGCCUUUCAGAGACACAAUGAUGAUGCCACUGAUUCUACUGCUGGCCACCCUGGGGCUCCUUGUUCAGGGUUCAUCGGGACAAACCAUCCUGACUCAGUCUCCUGGAUCUCAGUCUGUUGAUCCAGGACAGACUGUAUCCAUCAGAUGUAAAACCAGUGUUGGUGUUAGUAACAACCUCUACUGGUACCUUCAGAAACCUGGAGGAGCUCCUAAACUCCUGAUUUAUUACGCUACACAUCGCCAGUCUGGAGUUUCAGAUCGUUUUAGUGGAAGUCGAUCUGGGAAUGAUUUCACUCUGACCAUCAGAGGAGUUCAGGCUGAAGAUGCAGGAGUUUACUACUGUCAGCAGGGUUACAGCAGACCGUUCACACAGUGAUACAACGUCGUACAAAAACCUCCCUCAGCUAAAGAGGAACUGAUCUGACUCAACAGCUGCACUCAAACUAAAACAACACAGGUUUUACUAAGAAAAAAGUAUUUAAUGAUUAUAUAUGAACAUUCUAACACUAAAAUAUAAUGUUUAUAAGUAAUGUUAUACUUUUAAUUUCAAACAUUCUUUUUCACAUCAAAGCUAACCUCUGUUUAAAUAUGAUUUCAAGUCUUUAGUUGUCAAUAAAUUAACUUAUUAUAAUUCUUUAACUUUAAUCCAUAGACCAUGAUAACACAUGAACACUAAAACUAUUAAUAUUAUUUAUUCAUUUUAUUUCUUACAUUUUUUCUGAGAAACUCAAACAUACUCAAAAAAAAUUUCAUAUCAUCAUGAAAUGAUGUCUAUAAUAUAUUUUAGCCAGUUUGUGUGUUUUGUAUUCCGGUGAAC